rnacentral:rRNA from 1 species
CUAGUCCUAACCUUGGAGUCAAUUCUUACUUAACUUACACAUGCAAGUCUCCGCACCCCUGUGAAAACGCCCUCAACUCCUUUUUUAGGGUUGAUGGAGCAGGUAUCAGACUAAAUUAUUUAUCGAAAACACCUAGCCUCGCCACACCCAUAAGGGCCCUUGCAGCAGUGAUUAACAUUGAAUAUAAGCGACAGCUUGAUUCAGUUAAAGUAUAAUGAGCUGGCAAAGCUAGUGCCAGUCGCCUCGGUUAAACUACAUCAGCUCAAAUUGACCCCCACUCGGCGUAAAGCGUGAUCAAAUCUCACCCCCGUAUCCCCUAGAGUUAAAACCUAACAACUGUUUAACUAACAAACCCCCCCACGAAAGUCACUCUACCCCCACAACUUGAACUCACGACAACUAGGGCCCAAACUGGGAUUAGAUACCCCAUUAUGCCUAGUCGUAAACUAUAACUUACACCAUAAUCGCCAGG